rnacentral:rRNA from 1 species
GUCUAUGGCCAUGCCACCCUGAACAAGCCCCAUCCCAUCUGAUCUCAGAAGCUAAGCGGGGUCAGGCCUGGUUAGUACUUGGAUGGGAGACCACCUAGGAAGACCAGGUGCUGUAGGCA